AGGACGAACGCUGGCGGCGUGCUUAACACAUGCAAGUCGAGCGGAAAGGCCCUUCGGGGUACUCGAGCGGCGAACGGGUGAGUAACACGUGAGCAACCUGCCCUUAGCUCUGGGAUAGCCUCCGGAAACGGGGAUUAAUACCGGAUAUUCACUGUCUCCUGCAUGGGGGGUGGUGGAAAGUUUUUCGGUGGGGGAUGGGCCCGCGGCCUAUCAGCUUGUUGGUGGGGUGAUGGCCUACCAAGGCGUCGACGGGUA
rnacentral:rRNA from 1 species